rnacentral:rRNA from 1 species
GACGAACGCUGGCGGCGUGCCUAAUACAUGCAAGUUGAGCGCUGAAGGUUGGUACUUGUACCAACUGGAUGAGCAGCGAACGGGUGAGUAACGCGUGGGGAAUCUGCCUUUGAGCGGGGGACAACAUUUGGAAACGAAUGCUAAUACCGCAUAAAAACUUUAAACACAAGUUUUAAGUUUGAAAGAUGCAAUUGCAUCACUCAAAGAUGAUCCCGCGUUGUAUUAGCUAGUUGGUGAGGUAAAGGCUCACCAAGGCGAGGAUACAUAGCCGACCUGAGAGGGUGAUCAGCCACAUUGGGACUGAGACACGGCACAAACGCCUACGGGAGGCAGCAGUAGGGAAUCUUCGGCAAGGGACGAAAGUCUGACCGAGAAACGCCGCGGGAGUGAAGAGGGUUGUCGGAUCGUAAAACUCUGUUGGUAGAGAAGAACGUUGGUGAGAGUGGAAAGCUCAUCAAGUGACGGUAACUACCCAGAAAGGGACGGCUAACUACGUG